rnacentral:tRNA from 1 species
CUCUCCGUAGUUCAAUGGAUAGAACGGCCGCCUCCUAAGCGGCAAAUCUGGGUUCGAUUCCCGGCGGAGGGACCA